rnacentral:rRNA from 1 species
CCUAUGGGUGGCAGCAGUAGGGAAUUUUCGUCAAUGGGCGCAAGCCUGAACGAGCGAUGCCGCGUGAGUGAAGAAGGCCUUCGGGUCGUAAAGCUCUGUUGCGGGGGAAAAAAGGCAGCAUCAGGAAAUGGGUGCUGACUGAUGGUGCCCCGCCAGAAAGUCACGGCUAACUACGUGCCAGCAGCCGCGGUAAUACGUAGGUGGCGAGCGUUAUCCGGAAGGAUUGGGCGUAAAGGGUGCGCAGGCGGUCCUGCAAGUCUGGAGUGAAACGCAUGAGCUCAACUCAUGCAUGGCUUUGGAAACUGGAGGACUGGAGAGCAGGAGAGGGCGGUGGAAUUCCUGGUGUAGCGGUGAAAUGCGUAGAUAUCAGGAGGAAUACCGUUAGCGAAGGCGGCAAUCUGGCUGGAAACUGACGCUGAGGUGCGAAAGCGUGGGUAGCAAACAGGAUUAGAUACCCCGGUAGUC